CGACGUGAGUAACCUGCCUUGGAGUGGGGAAUAACACAGUGAAAACUGUGCUAAUACCGCAUAAUGCAUUUGGGUCGCAUGAUUCUGAAUGCCAAAGAUUUAUCGCUCUGAGAUGGACUCGCGUCUGAUUAGCUGGUUGGCGGGGUAACGGCCUACCAAGCCGACGAUCAGUAGCCGACCUGAGAGGGUGACCGGCCACAUUGGGACUGAGACACGGCCCAA
rnacentral:rRNA from 1 species